rnacentral:rRNA from 1 species
CCCUGGAACGGGCCGUCAGAGAGGGUGAGAAUCCCGUCUUGGGCGGGGUGUCCGUGCCCGUGUAAAGCUCCUUCGACGAGUCGAGUUGUUUGGGAAUGCAGCUCUAAAUGGGUGGUAAAUUUCAUCUAAAGCUAAAUACUGGCCGGAGACCGAUAGCGCACAAGUAGAGUGAUCGAAAGAUGAAAAGCACUUUGAAAAGAGAGUUAAACAGCACGUGAAAUUGUUGAAAGGGAAGCGCUUGCGACCAGACUCGCCCGCGGGUUCAGCCGGCAUUCGUGCCGGUGUACUUCCCCGUGGGCGGGCCAGCGUCGGUUUGGGCGGCCGGUCAAAGGCCCCUGGAAUGUAGUGCCCUCCGGGGCACCUUAUAGCCAGGGGUGCAAUGCGGCCAGCCUGGACCGAGGAACGCGCUUCGGCACGGACGCU